AGUGAACGCUGGCGGUAGGCCUAACACAUGCGAGUCGAACGGCAGCACAGUAAGAGCUUGCUCUUACGGGUGGCGAGUGGCGGACGGGUGAGGAAUACAUCGGAAUCUACUUUUUCGUGGGGGAUAACGUAGGGAAACUUACGCUAAUACCGCAUACGACCUACGGGUGAAAGCAGGGGAUCUUCGGACCUUGCGCGAUUGAAUGAGCCGAUGUCGGAUUAGCUAGUUGGCGGGGUAAAGGCCCACCAAGGCGACGAUCCGUAGCUGGUCUGAGAGGAUGAUCAGCCACACUGGAACUGAGACACGGUCCAGACUCCUACGGGAGGCAGCAGUGGGGAAUAUUGGACAAUGGGCGCAAGCCUGAUCCAGCCAUACCGCGUGGGUGAAGAAGGCCUUCGGGUUGUAAAGCCCUUUUGUUGGGAAAGAAAAGCAGCAGGUUAAUACCCUGCUGUUCUGACGGUACCCAAAGAAUAAGCACCGGCUAACUUCGUG
rnacentral:rRNA from 1 species